GGGACGGGCCCUGGGCGCCAGGCUCCGCUGGAGGCGGUGCGGCGGGCGGCAGGCGGGGCCCUGUUCCCCAGCGUAGUGUGUGUUCCGGCCGCAGCCUCGCGCCAGCUGCAGCUCCUUGAUCCGAGCCGGAUCCUGAGCGUGGAACACGGGCUGAACCCGCGGCAGCGGCCCCGCCCCGGCUCUCCAUUGUUGAGGCUGCCACGGCUCUGUCGGCUGCUCAGCUGCGCUCCAGUCGGCGCAGGCGCCGCGGCUAGGAGCGAGCACUCGGAGGCGGCGGUCUGAGGUGAAAACGGGUAACGAGGUCUCUGGACCGGGCGGCGGUCUCUGCCCCGGGCGUGGCGGCUCCGAACUGGGCUCCGCAGGGUCCGAGGUCGGGAUCCGGGGUCCUUGCGCCUGGGCUUUGUCUCGGCCUCGGGUGGCAUCGGGGGCUUUGCCCCUGCUACGAUACCACGUGGGCCCGCGCGGGGGUCCCGGUCGCCCUGCCGGUAGGGGCCGGUCCCCACUGCUCCCCGGCUCCCCGCGUCUGCCGCGGAGGGGGCUGCAUGGACCCGGGUGCUGGCUUCUGAGCCGAGAUGACGUCACUGCACUCCAGCGUGGGCGACCGAGUGAAACUCUGUCUCGGAAAAAAAAAAACCUGGUCAAGUGUUUUACCCAGCCUAGGCCUCGUUGAGUUGUGUACAACAGAGAGCUCAGGUGUUGGGGGCAGUUGACCGGUUGAAGAAUGCAUUGCUAUUAUGUGAGGAACACUGGCCUUUGAAAAAGCAGAACUGGAUCCACGUUCUUGCCUGGUAACUCUAACUAUCAUCUAGUUUGUAAAGGGGAAUGCAGUUCACUGAAAAAUUCUUAGGACAGUGGGGAAAGGAUUGGGGUGUCUGCAUUGGUUUGUGUAAUAUAGGUCAUAUGAAAGAGCUUUUAGGCUGGAGAGAGACUUUUCACCUCUCUAACUUUACUUUCACAGGACAAUUCCAUCAUGAUUUGAAGAUUUUUGAGUGAAAACUACAUUGUUCUGCUAUGUGUUUCGGGGCAAAUUUAUACAUACAAUUUGCUUAAAUAUUUCAGAUGAUACAAGAAUAUAUGUGUGGGGUAAAAAGCUGAAAUUUGCAUUCCCCCUUCUCUAGAAGUAACCAUUGUGAAUAGUUAAGUCUGUUUUCCAGCUAUUUUGUAUACUAUAAUACACUGUGAACAUUUGAGUGUAUAUAGACAUGUAUGUUACACACAGUUUUAGAGAUGGAAUAUUCUCUGUUGCCCAUGCUAGUCUCAAACUCCUGGGCUCAAGUGACCCUCUCGCCUCAGCCUCCCAAAGUUUUGGAAUAACAGGCAUGAGCCACCGCGCCUGGCCUGCAUGAGUAUAUUUAGUAAUUGCUAAGUUACUCUGUUCAGUACGUGUCUAUUGAAGUCCCCCAUGUACCAAGCAUUAUUCUGAAUACCUUAUAUGCACCAAUUGACUUAAUUUUUAGAGCAGCUCUAUUAUUGUGGCCCUUUUACAGUGAGGAAACUGAACCACAGAGAGGCUGGGGACGUUGUCUAACAUCACACAGCCGGUGCUGUUGGAAUUGAGGUUUGAACCCAGACAGCUGGCUUCAGAUCUCUUUUCUGUUAUCAUAGAUGGCACACCCAAACCGUAGGGCCGCCUCCCAAGCCUUGCCUGAGCUCUGUCUGAGCUCUGCCUGAGCUCUGCGAGAGCAGUGUAUGUGAGGUUUCUUUCCUCUUUAAGAACACAAGUCUUGGAAUUGUCCCAGACCCUGGUAGGACCUCUUGAGGACCAAAAACAGGGAUUCUUCAAGCCUGCCCCAAGGGCUAGAUCUCUGAUUUAGCUACUUGGAAGGUAGAUGUAGAAGAGAGUAAUUUUACCAGAACAAAAAGUCAGGAUGGCUGGGCUGACUCGGCCAGAUGCAGUGGCUCAUGCCUGUAAUCCCAGCACUUUGGGAGGCCGAGACAGGUGGAUCACCUGAGGUCGGGAGUUCGAGAGCAGCCUGACCAACAAGUUGAAACUAUGUCUCUACUGAAAAUAUGAAAAUUAGCUGGGCGUUUUGGCGGGUGCCUGUAAUCCCAGGUACUUGGGAGGCUGAGGCAAGAGAACUGCCUGAACCCGGGAUGCAGAGGUGGCAGUGAGCUAAGAAUAUGCCACCACUCCAGCUUGGGUGACAGAGCGAGACUUCGUCUCAAAAAAACAGAAGGAAGGGCAAGGGGAAUGCCUAGGCUGACUCACAGGGAAGAGGCCCUACAGCAGCCGUAGGACCUUGGCCACUUGGGUGGAAAAGAAAGAAGGAAGAGCUUCACCCAUGGCGGUGACCUGGACUGCAGAAACCACACUAAACAGUCCACAUCCUGGAGCCUGGCCACCCCAUUUGCUUCUCUUCUUGGGUAGAGGGCGUGGGGAGCUUUCUACCCUGGAGGCUGAGCAGCGCAGCUUCUAACCAGGGUAGGUGUUUGUCUGUCCCUGGGAAUACAGACAGCAUUCUCAUAAGCAGCCCAAAUCCUCCUGAACAGCUUUUUGUAGGGUGCGGCGGGGCGGGGCAGAGGGUCAUUUUGACUCCUAGGUACCUUUUCCACUUUCACUGCUGAUAACUGUGUUACAGAUUAAAGUUUUGUUUUUGACACUGAAGAGGGCUUAAGAGAGUGAGCUAUUAUGGCACAUCUAAGUCUGCUAAAAUAGAACCACGGGGUAGUGUAGGAAAAUCUCUUCUAAAUUAUGGAUCAUAUAUGGUGAACGUUAGAAGCCAUGUGUACCUAAGUUGAAAAAUCAAACAUGUCUUUAUUUGGGUGACCCCGGUAAGUCUGGAUGUCACUGCGCCUUGUGUGAACACAGGAUGCUGAGGUGUAGGGAUCAACAGGCUUUUUCUGGACAUCUUGCGCUUUCCCUUGGGGUAAAGUGGGGCGGCAGUAGCAGCGCACAGCUGUUGGGCCCUGAUAUUUGUCAGUGGUUUACAUGUGGGAUUCCAUUUAAUGCAAUCUUGGAGGUAAAAUUAUGUUAUUGAAGAUGAAGAUAGAGGCUUAGAGAAGUUAAGAAAAUUGUUCAAGGUCACAUCAUUUGUUUUGUUUCGUUUUGUUUUGAGAUAGUUUUGCUCUUCUUGCCCAGGCUGGAGUGCAAUGGUGCGAUCUCGGCUCACCACAACCUCUGCUUCCCAGGUUCAAGUGAUUCUCCUGCCUCAGCCUCCCGAGUAGCUGGGAUGACAGACAUGCGCCACCAUACCAGGCUGAUUUUGUAUUUUUAGUAGGGAUGGGGUUUUUCCAUGUUGGUUACGCUGGCCUUGAACUCGCAACUUUGGGUGAUCCACCCAACUCAGCCUCCCCAAGUGCUGGGAUUACAGAUGUGAGCCACCACGCCUGGCCAAGGCCAUGUAAUUUCUUAAGUUGAAAGAUGAAGUACUGGAUGAACUCAGAAGUUUGACUUCAAGGCCCUCGAUCUUUCCAUAACACUUGGUUCCUUCCCUGGUUGGUGGGAGUGACUGAAGAAGUCAGGAAGCUGUGUUUUUGGAAAGAGGACCUGAGGGGUGUAUGGUCUUUCCAGGCUUGGAAUCUGCCAUGCUGGGCUUCUGAAUUGUAUAGCUUGACCAUAUAGAGAAGCCCCUCAUUUAAGACUUAUUCUUUGGGGAAAAUGAAGGAAAGCCGCCCACAUGAGACAGGCAGAGGCGACUUUCUCAGAGCUGCUGUGGCAAGAGAGUCGGCACCGUCACUUGCGUGUGGCAGAGACUGACUGCAAGUGAGUGGCGGAUGAGGAGUGGGGAAGCUUCAGGAUGGAAAGAACGGCCCCCAGUGGAGGCUGUUGUGGGGGCGGAGGCGGCUGUACAGAAGUGGGGUGUCCUAUGUGAUUGGGUAGGGGCAUAUUUGGCUUUCUCUGAAUGAUCCUAACUGGAAACACUGGGCCAAAAUUGGG
rnacentral:lncRNA from 1 species